CUAAUUUUGGUUCCAACGUUACUAACAACUACAUUCAAUCACUUGCAGCCUCCACUUCCUUGUCAGAUCGAAUCAGAUUCAUUGACUUACCCGAAGACAAGCUCGAAACAUUUAGUAUCGCUUCUUUUAUUGAGAGACAGAAACCUCAUGUCAAACAAGUUAUUUCUGAGAUCACUCAAUCUGGGUCUGAUUCUCCUCGACUAGCUGGUUUCGUUCUUGAUAUGUUUUGUGCAACGAUGAUAGAUGUCGCUAAUGAUUUUGGUGUUCCAUCUUACAUUUUCUUUACUUCAAGUGCAGCUUUUUUUGGUUUCGUGCUUCAUUUGCAGGUGAUUUACGAUGAACAGAAUGUUGAUCCAACUGAGUUGAAGGAAUCGGACAUUGAGUUAGAAGUCCCGGGUUUGGUAAACCCAUUUCCUGCUAAGGUUAUGCCUUCCGCGAUGUUAAGCGAAGAGUGGUUUCAUCCCUUGCUCGACAAUUUCAGAAGGUAUAAGGAAGCUAAGGGUAUUAUCGUAAACACAUUAUUUGAGCUAGAAUCCUAUGCAAUCGAGUCUUUUUCUAAUGGUAAAACUAGAAAAACCCCUCCCAUGUAUCCAGUGGGUCCCAUUUUGAAUGUGGGGUCCGAUGGAAGCAGCAAACAGCAGGAAAUCAUGGAAUGGCUUGAUGAUCAGCCUCCAUCAUCAGUGGUGUUCCUGUGCUUUGGGAGCUGGGGAAGUUUUGAUGAGGAUCAAGCGAAAGAGAUUGCCUAUGCGCUAGAGCACAGUGGACAUAGAUUCUUGUGGUCCCUACGUCGACCACCGCCAACAGGUAAGAUGGAAUCUCCAAGUGAGUACGAGAAUCCACAAGAAGUUUUACCUGAAGGAUUCUUAGAUCGAACGGCUAAGAUUGGAAAGAUAGUUGGAUGGGCUCCACAAGCAGCUAUUUUAGCUCAUCAAGCUAUAGGAGGAUUUGUUUCUCACUGUGGAUGGAACUCUACAUUGGAGAGCAUAUGGUAUGGUGUUCCAAUUGCAGCAUGGCCAAUGUACGCAGAGCAACAGUUCAAUGCCUUUGAAAUGGUGAUUGAACUAGGAUUAGCUGUGGAAAUUAAAAUGGAUUAUAGAAAAGAGAGCAAAAUAAUUAUAAAUAGUGAUGAAAUUGAAAGAGGAAUAAGGUGUUUGAUGGAGCAAGAUAGUGAAAAGAGAAAGAAAGAGAAGGAGAUGAGUGAAAGGAGCAGAAUGGCUUUAAUGGAAGGUGGAUCUUCAUACAUUUGGUUAGAUUGUUUAAUGAAAGAUGUCAUGAGCAAUAUGGCAUGAUCAAAACAUUCCCAUUAUAUGGUUUUGUUUGUCAUUUUUCUUUUCUCCCAAAUUAGCCAAUGUUGGUGUCUAUGGCUCUUACUCAAUAAUGUAUUAAUAUAUAUAUAUAUGUGUGUGUGUGUGUAUGUACUUCUUAAACUCAAAGAAUGAGAAAAUUCCGAAUGAAGAAAGAAAGUUACUUACAUCACAGAUCUACUGGGAUUGGUUUUUAUUUUUCAAAGAGAGAAACCUAAGUUUCCCUCCUCUCUCUCUCCAUAAAGAAAUUAAAAAUGGAGAAGAUGGCUAGCAUAAGUAGAAUAAGAAGCCCAAAUGCCCAUCAUUUUGUCGCUCUCAAUUUGAUCAUAAUUUCAUCAUUCCUGCAUCUUCUUUAUCUCCUUAGUAUGUAAAAAUCUGAACUUUUCCUCUUUUCUUUUUGUCUUUUUACUUUUUUUUUUUUUUUUCCUCUGUUAUGCUGUUAUUGGAGUAGUAGCUAAUGCCAUUGGUGGCUGGUUAAAUCUGAGAACAAAGAAAUUGUUGUUACUAGGAUUGCAUUUAGUAAGUUUGAGAUGGAAGAUUUGUGGAGUCAAAUGGGGGCAUAAAAAUAUUUUCCUUUGUAAAAUCAUGUGGGACCAAGUGAAUUGUAGUGAUUUGUUUUGUUGGACGUCCACCGCAUGAUGGAGCUCGUUUCACCCCAGUAAGAUUUUGGGCGUUCCACCGCUGGAAAAAGAAAGAGGAAUAAGGUGUGUGAUGGAGCAGGAUAAUGGAAAAAGAAAGAAAGUGAAGGAGAUGAGUGGAAGGAGCAAAAUGACUUUAAUGGAAGGUGGGUCUUCAUACAUUUGGUUGGAUUGUUUAAUAAAAGAUGCCAUGAAAAAUAUGUCAUAAUUAAAAUAAUCUCAUUAACUCGAAGGAGAAUAAGCGCAAUGCAAACUCCUCUAGCCCCUUUGUUUUCGAGGGCAAGCGAAAAUUAAUCAGGCUUAUCACGAAUAUAGAUACGGACAUAUCCCCUUUGCUUUCGAAGGCAAGCGAAAAUUAAUCAGGCUUAUCACGAAUAUAGAUACGGACAUACCGUGAAAGUAUAAAAAAAAGAUAGAAUGAAAAUAAGGGCAAUCUUAGACAAUAACCUUAGUCAAAGGACAAUUUUUGAUUUUGUUUGUCACUUUUUCUUUUCUCCCAAUUUAGCGGACUUUGAUGCAUAUGGUUCCUACUCAAGAAUGUAUUGUGCUUCAAGCAUCUUUUGCUUAGUUUUGUAAGUUUCAAAUAAUGCAAGCCCACGGCUGUAGUGAAUAUAAUUUUAUUAUUAAAAGUUGAAUUUUUUAUUUAUCUAAUUUUUAUUCUUUAACAAAUUUUAAGGACUCUUUAUUUAUCAUUUUUUUUAAAUUUAUUAUGCGAUUAUUCAUCUAAUUUUUAUUCCGUAAUAAAUUUUAAGCACUCUUUAUUUAUUAUUAUUUUAAUUCAUUAAAGGUUUAUAUGCGAUAAAUAUAUGUGCUACACAAUAGGGGUAGUCUUCUCUUUGGCUCACAAAACCGGUGAAAACAACUGUGAUUAAGAGAACCCGAACUCGAGACCUCUCAAUCCUCAUAUAAGUGAGAAGAUCAAUCAAACUACUAACUGAUUGGCUCUCUCUAUAUCAUUUAAAUUUUAAAAUCAAUUUUAAUUUGUAUCACAGGAAAAAAAACUAAUUUCAUCGUUAAAUGACUUUAGAAUUUGAUAAAAUUAUAAAAUUCAAUCAAAAUUUUAAAAAUAACCAAAUCAAAUAACCAAAAUCCAUCCCUAAUAAUGAACAACUCUAGAAGUCUCCAUUUUGCCAUAUGUGGGAGGAGAGAGAAUUUUGAGGGUUAUAAAGAUAUAGUGCAACAUGUAAAGAUGGAGAUAAAAAUGGAGAGACUUUUGGUAUUAUAAACAAUGUUGGGAUAAGCUAAUCUACUCAAUGAGGUACAAUUCUAGGUGCUUAGGAGUUAAAAGGUCAUUUUAAAAUGGAAAUGAAACAACUCAAAUAGAUUAGAAUAAAAAUAUGAUUCUAUUCGGAAAUAAUGUUUAAAUAUAGUGUUUGGUAAUAAGGUCAUUUUUUUUUUCUUUUGUUUUCAACAAAGGCGGCUAACAUAUAUAUUAUAUGUUUUUUUUUUUUUUUUUUUUUGACAUUAUAUAUUAUAUGUUUUAGGUAACACCCAGCAAAGCCAUGGCAUCACUGUUUUUGUUCUUCUAGCUUGCAAUUUAUAAUACCGCAAAAUAGCAACACAACAAAGGUGGCUCCUUUUCCUAUGCUUAUGAAAACUAACUCAGUCACUGCCGCUUCAAGCUCAGAAGAAAAAUAGAUAUCUCCUGUCAAAAUGGAAGAAGCACAGCUCGUAUUCGUCCCUACCCCUGGUAUAGGCCACCUUAUAUCCACGGUGGAAUUGGCAAAGCUUCUUCUUAACCACCGCCACCAUGGACUCUCCGUCACUGUCCUUGUCAUGAAGCUAUCUAAUUUUGGUUCCAACGUUACUAACAACUACAUUCAAUCACUUGCAGCCUCCACUUCCUUGUCCGAUCGAAUCAGAUUCAUUGACUUACCCGAAGACAAGCUCGAAACAUUUAGUAUCGCUUCUUUUAUUGAGAGACAGAAACCUCAUGUCAAACAAGUUAUUUCUGAGAUCACUCAAUCUGGGUCUGAUUCGCCUCGACUAGCUGGUUUCGUUCUUGAUAUGUUUUGUGCAACGAUGAUAGAUGUCGCUAAUGAUUUUGGUGUUCCAUCUUACAUUUUCUUUACUUCAAGUGCAGCUUUUUUUGGUUUCGUGCUUCAUUUGCAGGUGAUUUACGAUGAACAGAAUGUUGAUCCAACUGAGUUGAAGGAAUCGGACAUUGAGUUAGAAGUCCCGGGUUUGGUAAACCCAUUUCCUGCUAAGGUUAUGCCUUCCGCGAUGUUAAGCGAAGAGUGGUUUCCUCCCUUGCUCGACAAUUUCAGAAGGUAUAAGGAAGCUAAGGGUAUUAUCGUAAACACAUUAUUUGAGCUAGAAUCCUAUGCAAUCGAGUCUUUUUCUAAUGGUAAAACUAGAAAAACCCCUCCCAUGUAUCCAGUGGGUCCCAUUUUGAAUGUGGGGUCCGAUGGAAGCAGCAAACAGCAGGAAAUCAUGGAAUGGCUUGAUGAUCAGCCUCCAUCAUCAGUGGUGUUCCUGUGCUUUGGGAGCUGGGGAAGUUUUGAUGAGGAUCAAGCGAAAGAGAUUGCCUAUGCGCUAGAGCACAGUGGACAUAGAUUCUUGUGGUCCCUACGUCGACCACCGCCAACAGGUAAGAUGGAAUCUCCAAGUGAGUACGAGAAUCCACAAGAAGUUUUACCUGAAGGAUUCUUAGAUCGAACGGCUAAGAUUGGAAAGAUAGUUGGAUGGGCUCCACAAGCAGCUAUUUUAGCUCAUCAAGCUAUAGGAGGAUUUGUUUCUCACUGUGGAUGGAACUCUACAUUGGAGAGCAUAUGGUAUGGUGUUCCAAUUGCAGCAUGGCCAAUGUACGCAGAGCAACAGUUCAUUGCCUUUGAAAUGGUGAUUGAACUAGGAUUAGCUGUGGAACUUAAAAUGGAUUAUAGAAAAGAGAGCAAAAUAAUUAUAAAUAGUGAUAAAAUUGAAAGAGGAAUAAGGUGUUUGAUGGAGCAAGAUAGUGAAAUUAGAAAGAAAGUGAAGUAGAUGAGUGAAAGGAGCAGAAUGGCUUUAAUGGAAGGUGGAACUUCAUUCAUUUGGUUAGAUUGUUUAAUAAAAGAUGUCAUCAGCAAUAUGUCAUGAUCAAAACAUUCCCAUUAUAUGGUUUUGUUUGUCAUUUUUCUUUUCUCCCAAAUUAGCAAAUGUUACUUCUUUUCUCCCGAGAAGUACUCAAUAAUGAAAGAUGUCAUUCUUUGGCGUCUAUGGCUCUUACUCAAUAAUGUAUUUGUGUGUGUGUGUGUGUACUUCUUAAACUCAAAGAAUGAGAAAAUCCCGAAUGAAGAAAGAAAGUUACUUACAUCACAGAUCUACCGGGAUUGGUUUUUUUUUUUUUUUUUUCCAAAAGAGAGAAACCCAACUUUCCCUCCUCUCUCUCUCUCCAUAAAGAAAUUAAAAAUAGAGAAGAUGGCUAGCAUAAGUAGAAUAAGAAGCCCAAAUGCCCAUCAUUUUGUCGCUCUCAAUUUGAUCAUAAUUUCAUCAAAAGUAAUUGGAUGGGCUCCAUAAGCAGCUAUUUUAGCUCAUGAAGGCUGAAGGUAUAGGAGGAUUUGUUUCUCACUGUGGAUGGAAUUCUGUGUUGGAAAGCAUAUGGUGUGGUGUUCCAAUUGCAGCCUGGCCAAUGUACGCAGAGCAACAGUUCAAUGCCUUUGAAACGGUAACUGAAUUGGAAUUAGCAGUGGAAAUUAAGAUGGAUUAUACGAUCGGAAGUGAAAUAAUUGUAAGUUGUGAUGACAUUGAAAGAGGAAUAAGGUGUGUGAUGGAGCAGGAUAAUGGAAAAAGAAAGAAACUGAAGGAGAUGAGUGAAAGGAGCAAAAUGACUUUAAUGGAAGGUGGGUCUUCAUACAUUUGGUUGGAUUGUUUAAUAAAAAGAUGUCAUGAAAAAUAUGUCAUAAUUAAAACAAUCCCAUUAACUUGAAGGAGAAUAAGCACAACGCAAACUCCCUUAGCCCCUUUGCUUUCGAGAGCGAGCGGAGGUGAGCGAAUAUUAGCUAGACUUACUUCGGAUACUAAUAUAGAUAUCUCGUGUAAAUAUAAAAAAAAAAAAAAGCGAGAGGAGGUGAGCGAAUAUUAACUAGACUUACUUCGGAUACUAAUAUAGAUAUCUCGUGUAAAUAUAAAAAAAAAAAAAAAUAGAACGAGAAUAGCACAACCUUAGACAAUAACCUUAGUCAAAGGAUAAUUUUUUAUUUUGUUUGUCAUUCUUUCUUUUCUCCCAAUUUAGCGGACUUUGAUGCCUAUGGUUCCUACUCAAGAAUGUACUGUGCUUCAAGCAUCUUUUGCUUACUUUUGCAAGUUUUAAGGUUGUUAGUCGUUGGAAAAAGUUUCGCAAAUAAUACAAGCCCAGGGUUGUAGUGAAUAUAAUUUUAUUAUUGAAGGUUGAAUUUUUUAUGCAUCUAAUUUUUAUUCCUUAAUAAAUUUUAAAGAUUCUUUAUUUAUCAUUUUUUUUAAUUCACUGGAGAUUUUUUUGCAAGAUAAGCCUGUGUGCUACACAAUAAGUAUAACCCUACUCUUGGCUCACAAAACUGAUGAAAACAAAUGUGGUUAAAAGAACUUAAACUCGAGAUCUUCCACUCUUCAUAUAAGUGAGAAGAUCAACCAGACUACCAACUGGUUGACUCUCUUUAUAUCAUUUAAAUUUUAAAAUCGAUGUUAAUUCGUAUCACAGGACAAAAAACUAGUUUCAUAGUUAAAUGAAUUUAGAAUUUGAUAAAAUUCUAAAAUUCAAUCAAAAUUUUAAAAUAACCAAAUCAAAUAACCAAAAUCCAUCCCUAAUAAUGAACAACUCUAGAAGUCUCCAUUUUGUCAUCUGAGGGAGGAGAGAAUUUUGAGGGUUAUGAAGACAUAGUGCAACAUGUAAAAAUGGAGAGAAUUUUGGUAUUAUAAACAAUGUUGGGAUAAGUUAAUCUACUGAAUGAGGUACAAUUCGAGGUACUUACGAGAUAAAGGUCAUUUUGGAACGAGCAUGAAACAACUCAAAUAGUUUAGAAUAAAAAUAUGGCUAUAUUCGGCAACAAUGUUUAAAUAUAGUGUUUGAUAAUAUAGCGUUUGAAUUAACUUUUAAAAACUAAGACUGCAUUUUGUGAAAAGUUACUUCAUACAUUUUAUGAAAAGCUAGUAAAUCAGCUAAUACCUAAAAGCUAUUAAAACAGCUAACAGCUACCAAAAUAGUUAAUUUUGCUAAAUAAACCUAUAGUUUAGCUAAUUCACAGUGCAAUAUAAAUUAAUAAUAGUUCAAAAUUUUAAUAUACAAAACACAAUAUAUUUAAAGGUUUCCAGAUGAUAUAUUUUUCCUUUUAAUAGCAAUUUACAACCACAUUAUAUAAAUUUUAUAUUAAUAAAAUAGAUAUCCAGCGAAUUAAAUUGCCAAGUCCACAGAGGAUAUGAAAAUAAAUUUAAUACUUAAAUUAUCAUUUUACAUUUCAACAAUGACUGUUGCUAAAUUUUAUUAAACAAUUAAUAUUUAUUAGUUAACUAAUAAAUCAAACAUGCCCUAAGUAACAAUUCACUCUAGAAUGUAAAAUUGAAAAAUAUAGAAAAUAAAUUAGAUAUAUAAAUCAAGUAUAAAAAUUAUAAAUGGUGAAUAAAUAAAUAAAAUAAACAAUUUUUAAAAACUCAAAAUCAACUACAAGACCAUUGAAAAAAAUUUUGAAUUUAUUUCUGUCCCGUGUGUCCCUUGCAUGCACCGAUGCAUUACCUUAAACAAUAAAAUUAGAUAAAAUUAAUAUUCACCUUAUAUAUAUAUAUAUAUAUAUAUAUAUAUAUAUAUAUAUAUAAAGUAAUAAUAAGAAAAUGCAUAAAACUAUAUGUAUAAAACAAUUUGGAGUCUAUUUCAUGUUGUUGGGUGGAAUAUACAGCAAUUAGCGAAUUUGUUUUUGUGUUAAUGUGCUGGACAUUAUAAAUACACGGCAUAAAAAUAUAAAAUGUAAAUACAGAAUGCCUCCGCCACAGCCAUAUCUGAAAUUACCCAAAUGAAUGACAAUGGAAGGAUAGAAUUGUCAUUUGACAUCGCUUAGGUUCGACUGUAUAUUUUCUUCACCAUUGUAAAACAGAUUAAUUCCGGAUUAGCUAUAUUGCUUAUUUUUCUUCUUAUAAGAAAAAUAAUAAAAAUAAUAAAUUGCAACUCUCAUUAUAUCUUAACAAAUUAAUUUUUGCCUUAUUUCCAAAGGUUAUGGGUAUUAAUAUUAUUUAUCUAUUUAUCAUGCAAUACAAUGUCAUUCUCAUAUUUGACGCGCUUUGCAGUUUCUCUGUCUAUAUUUUAAUUUACUCCAAUAUUUCAAAAUAGAAGAUAGAUAGAUCUAUUUGAUAACUUUUUAUAACUAAACUCACAUUAAAAAGGUCAUAAAAUCAAUGUUUAUAUUGGAAUCAUAUUCAUGCUAAAUUAAUUUCUUAUUGUUCGGUUUAAAUCUAAAAUUUAUUUAUUUGUUUAUUUUGGUAUCACGUCAAUCUGGAAAUUAAAACUCGAGAGGAUAAUAUUUUUAUGGACGAAGCAUCUUCCACAUUCCACAUCAGUAACACCCAGCAAAGCGAUGACGAAUUACCCUUCUUGGCUUCUUGCGUUCCCAGGUUGCAAUACCUCAAAUUAGUAAACAGACAUCGAAAGGCUCUCUUUUCCUGAUCCUUAGACUCGUCUAUAAAUAAGGGCACUCACUGCAGCUUCAAUGUUCAAACACCUCAGACUCAGAAGAAGAAUAAAUAUUCACUAAAAAUGGAAAACACACAGCUGCUAUUCGUCCCUUUUCCUGUUAUAGGCCACCUUAUAGCCAUGGUGGAAUUGACAAAGCUUCUUCUUAGCCGCGACCACCGACUCUCCGUCACUGUUCUUAUCAUGAAGCUAUCUAUUUUUGAUUCCAAUGUUAUUAAAAAUUAUAUUCAAUCAUUUGCACCCUCCACUUCUUUAUCAAAUCGAAUCCGAUUCAUUGACUUGCCCGAAGACAAGUUCGACGAACCAUUUAUUUUCGCUUCUUUUAUUGAGAGACAGAAACUUCAUGUCAAACAAGUUGUUUCUGAGAUAAAUCAACCUGGUUCUGAUUCGCCUAGACUCGCUGGGUUCGUUCAUGAUAUGUUUUGCACGGGAAUGAUAGAUGUCGCUAAUGAUUUUGGUGUUCCCUCCUAUAUUUUCUUUACUUCAAGUGCAGCAUUUCUUGGUUUCAUGCUUCAUAUGCUGGUGAUUUACGAUGAACAGAAUGUUGAUCCAACUGAGUUGAAGGAAUC
rnacentral:lncRNA from 1 species